ensembl:lncRNA
AUGCAUCUACUUGGCAUUUUGGUGCUCAUGUUAUGCGGCUCAUCACUGGGGUUCCCUGUUCCAGUAGAUACCAUCCUAGUGCAGGUGCAGCAGCGGGGAGUGGUGGGUGCUCGGCAGGUGGUGGAGCAGGUCCUUUUCAACGGGGUCUCCCUCACUGGCAAAAGCCCAGAAGUUGACCGCAUAAUCCAAACCAUUUCAGCUGAUCCACUCCUUCCAACUCUUCUCCGUUUCAACCAGACUUCCGUCAUGAGAGACCACACCGUCCUCCGUUCCCGUGAAUGCAUAGUGGAGGGGUCUCUGCUGCACUGGGCCGACCGCGUGUUCUAUGACGGGGAGGUCUAUCUGACUCUGGACCACGGCGGCGGGUGGACCCCCCGCGUACCAGAAGCGCUGGCUUUCAAGGUGGUGUGGGAGCAGCAGGAGCAGCGCACAAAGAGGGAGACGAGCCACCUUCACGAGGGCUGCAUCAAGCUGAUGAGAGAGCUGAUGCUUUCGCAGGAGCAGUCGGAAAAACAUUUUCAUCAAGGGCAAAAGUAGCGUCAUUUUGUCAGAAGGGACCCAUUCUACAUCAUUCAUUCAUUCGCUGUAAUAAUGGAUUGAAUGUCACGUUUUGGGCUG